rnacentral:rRNA from 1 species
CCUACGGGUGGCAGCAGUGGGGAAUAUUGGACAAUGGGGGCAACCCUGAUCCAGCCAUGCCGCGUGUGUGAAGAAGGCCCUCGGGUUGUAAAGCACUUUCAGUGAGGAAGAACGCCUGGUGGUUAAUACCCAUCAGGAAAGACAUCACUCACAGAAGAAGCACCGGCUAACUCCGUGCCAGCAGCCGCGGUAAUACGGAGGGUGCGAGCGUUAAUCGGAAUUACUGGGCGUAAGCGCGCGUAGGUGGCUUGAUAAGCCGGUUGUGAAAGCCCCGGGCUCAACCUGGGAACGGCAUCCGGAACUGUCAAGCUAGAGUGCAGGAGAGGAAGGUAGAAUUCCCGGUGUAGCGGUGAAAUGCGUAGAGAUCGGGAGGAAUACCAGUGGCGAAGGCGGCCUUCUGGACUGACACUGACACUGAGGUGCGAAAGCGUGGGUAGCAAACAGGAUUAGAUACCCGUGUAGUC